rnacentral:rRNA from 1 species
UACGUAGGGACCAAGCGUUGUUCGAAUUUACUGGGCGUAAAGGGCGCGUAGGCGGCGUGUUAAGUCACUUGUGAAAUCUCUGAGCUUAACUCAGAACGGUCAAGUGAUACUGAUGUGCUAGAGUGCAGAAGGGGCAACCGGAAUUCUUGGUGUAGCGGUGAAAUGCGUAGAUAUCAAGAGGAACACCUGAGGUGAAGACGGGUUGCUGGGCUGACACUGACGCUGAGGCGCGAAGGCUAGGGUAGCAAACGGG